CAGAGUAAGAAGUCCGUGCGUGAAGUGCCUUUUGAAAGGGGAUUUGUCAAAAGGACGAAAGGAUUUUUCCUGCGGUUCGGGCUUUACAUCCCGCC
rnacentral:ncRNA from 1 species